UACGGAGGUUGCGAGCGUUAUCCGGAUUUACUGGGUUUAAAGGGUGCGUAGGCUGCCUGGUAAGUCAGUGGUGAAAGGCCGUCGCUCAACGAUGGGAUUGCCAUUGAUACUGCCGGGCUCGGACACUUCCGAGGUGGGCGGAACACGGCAUGUAGCGGUGAAAUGCAUAGAUAUGCCGUAGAACACCGAUUGCGAAGGCAGCUUGCUGGGAAGUCGUCGACGCUGAGGCACGAAAGCGUGGGGAGCAAACAGG
rnacentral:rRNA from 1 species